GACGAACGCUGGCGGCGUGCCUAACACAUGCAAGUCGAACGGGGUAAAGACUUCGGUUUUUACUUAGUGGCGAACGGGUGAGUAACGCGUGAGAAACCUGCCUUUCAGUGGGGGACAACAGUUGGAAACGACUGCUAAUACCGCAUAAUGUUAUUUGGGGGCAUCCCUGAAUAACCAAAGAUUUAUUGCUGAAAGAUGGUCUCGCGUCUGAUUAGCUAGCUGGUGAGGUAACGGCUCACCAAGGCGACGAUAAGUAGCCGGUCUGAGAGGAUGAACGGCCACAUUGGGACUGAGAUACGGCCCAGACUCCUACGGGAGGCAGCAGUGGGGAAUAUUGGGCAAUGGGGGAAACCCUGACCCAGCAACGCCGCGUGAAGGAAGAAGGCCUUCGGGUUGUAAACUUCUUUUACCAGGGACGAACAGAUGACGGUACCUGGAGAAAAAGCAACGGCUAACUACGUGCCAGCCGCCGCCGUAAGAC
rnacentral:rRNA from 1 species